CCUACGGGAGGCAGCAGUGAGGAAUAUUGGUCAAUGGACGAGAGUCUGAACCAGCCAAGUAGCGUGAAGGAUGACUGCCCUAUGGGUUGUAAACUUCUUUUAUAUGGGAAUAAAAUGUUCCACGUGUGGGCUUUUGUAUGUACCAUAUGAAUAAGGAUCGGCUAACUCCGUGCCAGCAGCCGCGGUAAUACGGAGGAUCCGAGCGUUAUCCGGAUUUAUUGGGUUUAAAGGGUGCGUAGGGGGAUGGUUAAGUCAGUUGUGAAAGUUUGGGGCUCAACCGUAGAAUUGCAGUUGAAACUGGCAGUCUUGAGUGCAGUAGAGGUGGGCGGAAUGCGUGGUGUAGCGGUGAAAUGCUUAGAUAUCACGAAGAACUCCGAUUGCGAAGGCAGCUCACUGGACUGCAACUGACACUGAGGCUCGAAAGUGUGGGUAUCAAACAGGAUUAGAUACCCGGGUAGUC
rnacentral:rRNA from 1 species